rnacentral:rRNA from 1 species
AGUUUGAUCAUGGCUCAGAUUGAACGCUGGCGGCAGGCCUAACACAUGCAAGUCGAGCGGUAGCACAAGAGAGCUUGCUCUCUGGGUGACGAGCGGCGGACGGGUGAGUAAUGUCUGGGGAACUGCCUGAUGGAGGGGGAUAACUACUGGAAACGGUAGCUAAUACCGCAUAACGUCUUCGGACCAAAGUGGGGGACCUUCAGGCCUCACGCCAUCAGAUGUGCCCAGAUGGGAUUAGCUAGUAGGUGGGGUAAUGGCUCACCUAGGCGACGAUCCCUAGCUGGUCUGAGAGGAUGACCAGCCACACUGGAACUGAGACACGGUCCAGACUCCUACGGGAGGCAGCAGUGGGGAAUAUUGCACAAUGGGCGCAAGCCUGAUGCAGCCAUGCCGCGUGUGUGAAGAAGGCCUUCGGGUUGUAAAGCACUUUCAGCGAGGAGGAAGGGUAGUGUGUUAAUAGCACAUUGCAUUGACGUUACUCGCAGAAGAAGCACCGGCUAACUCCGUGCCAGCAGCCGCGGUAAUACGGAGGGUGCAAGCGUUAAUCGGAAUUACUGGGCGUAAAGCGCACGCAGGCGGUUUGUUAAGUCAGAUGUGAAAUCCCCGCGCUUAACGUGGGAACUGCAUUUGAAACUGGCAAGCUAGAGUCUUGUAGAGGGGGGUAGAAUUCCAGGUGUAGCGGUGAAAUGCGUAGAGAUCUGGAGGAAUACCGGUGGCGAAGGCGGCCCCCUGGACAAAGACUGACGCUCAGGUGCGAAAGCGUGGGGAGCAAACAGGAUUAGAUACCCCGGUAGU